AUCGAACGGCCCGGAACUCUGUAGACACCGGGUUCUUGCUUCUCCGAAUAAACCCAGACCUUCGCUUUUCUCCUCUUUCCAAAACCUUCCAAGAACCUCACGGGCCCUACUAAUCAACCCAGCCGCCGUUGAAUUUUUCUCCGGCGGUGCUCUCAGCAGCUGAGAUGACACAUUUUAUUGUGUCAUUAAACUGAUGGAUGCUGAUUACAAAAAGUUUGGAAAGGGACCUAGAGAACUCAGUGGUGCGGUUGAUCUGAUAAAUCACUACAAACUUUUGCCUCACCAUGAGUUUUUCUGCAAGAGGUCACUUCCUUUGUCAAUUUCAGAGACACACUAUCUUCGGAGUGUGGUGGGAGGCACAGAAAUUAGGAAAGGAGAAGGAAUGGAAUUGGAUCAGCUCUUUCACAGUACCUUUUAUUUGAGAGAAAGAAAUGCAGGCAUACAUCCAUUUGACUUGGAUAUUCUCAGGGAAGCUUUUCAGAUGAGAGAAACAACUCCUGUUGAGCUGUCUUCUGCUGAAAAGGGUAUCCCUACCUGUGUGCCAAAGUCAAAGAAUGAGCCUAAAGACAAGGAGAGGAAGCAUAAAAAGUCAAAGGACAAGGCUAAAGAUCGUAAGAAACAUAGACACCAUCCCAAGGACAGUAGUAGUGAUAAAAACAAGGAUAAGUGUAGAAUUGGGAACCGGGAUUCUGGUAUUGAGCAGAAGCAGCAAGACAAGAAGAGGAAGCAUGAUGGGAAUGGAGAUGUUUCAUAUAUUCAAAGCCACCUGAAAACUGAGCGUAGGAAUUCCCAGAUCAAAAUGGGCAUGCAAAGGGAAACAAGAUGAAAAGGUUUUGAGUGGGCUCUGCCAGACCUUUUUCUGUACUUUCAGAAGUGAUGUUUUCACCCUUUCUGUGGUUUGUGAAUCAUAAUGGUAGUCAAUUUUGUGCACAUUCCAUAAAUUAACCAUGUGGUUCAAAGGCUGAACGUUCAUACUGUUGAAAGGUUCUUGACAACAAGAAACAGCCCAACUUUGUUGCUUAUGAUUUGAUACACACUAAAGCUAUAACCUUGAUUUUCCUUUUCACUAAAGCAGUUUUGGGCCGGAUUGACAUCUCCAUUUUGCUAAAAUUUCAACCUAUUGCUACUGGUAUACCAGAGAAUGAUGGUUUGGUAGUCUCUUAUAAAUGUAUGUUCCAUACAAUGGCUUGAGUAGCUACUAGCUUCUUUCCCACAAGAAUUGCAAUUUCACUGGUCUUUUAUUUUC